rnacentral:sRNA from 1 species
UUUUAGGAACUAUAGAUUUAGCUUAUUGUGACAUUCUGUACAGAGACUUGAAGAAAGGUCUUGAAGGACUUGUGCUUGAAAGCCUUCUUCAUCUAAUCUACCUAACAACCCCCUAUGAUCUGGUUUCACAGUGUAACCCUGAUUGGAUGAUAUACUUCAGGCAGUUCAGCCAACUCAGUCCAGCAGAACAAAAUGUAGCUGCCAUUCUUGGAGUCUCUGAAAGCUUUAUUGGGAAGAAAGCAUCAGGCCAAGCCAUCGGAAAGAAGGUGGACAAGGACGUUGUCAACAGGCUAUAUCUGUCUUUUAUUCUUUAUACCUUGCUCAAAGAGACCAACAUUUGGACUGUAUCUGAAAAAUUUAAUAUGCCUCGAGGAUAUAUACAAAAUCUUCUCACUGGAACUGCCUCAUUCUCAUCUUGUGUGUUACAUUUCUGUGAGAUGCUGUUGCAUGAAAAAGCAGAGGCCCUGCAAGAAGAGGUAGAAGAGCUACUAAGAUUGCCUUCUGAUUUCCCUGGUGCUGUGGCUUCUUCCACUGACAAAGCAUGAAGCUAUCUGAUGAGCAUUUUCAUACAUGAAUUAUUUAUUGUACAUGUGUGUUAUUAAAGAUAACUUGUACUUUAUAAAUGAAAAAA